GACGAACGCUGGCGGCGUGCUUAACACAUGCAAGUCGUACGGUAAGGCCCUUUCGGGGGUACACGAGUGGCGAACGGGUGAGUAACACGUGAGUAACCUGCCCACAACUUUGGGAUAACGCUAGGAAACUGGUGCUAAUACUGGAUAUGUGCUCCUGCUGCAUGGAGGGGGUUGGAAAGCUCCGGCGGUUGUGGAUGGACUCGCGGCCUAUCAGCUUGUUGGUGGGGUAGUGGCCUACCAAGGCGGCGACGGGUAGCCGGCCUGAGAGGGUGACCGGCCACAUUGGGACUGAGAGACGGCCCAGACUCCUACGGGAGGCAGCAGUGGGGAAUAUUGCACAAUGGGCGCAAGCCUGAGGCAGCAACGCCGCGUGCGGGAUGACGGCCUUCGGGUUGUAAACCGCUCUCAGCAGGGACGAAGCUUUUUGUGACGGUACCUGCAGAAGAAGCACCGGCUAACUACGUG
rnacentral:rRNA from 1 species